UGAGCUCAACCACGAAAGCCCCCUGGCCC
rnacentral:piRNA from 1 species